rnacentral:snRNA from 1 species
AGAAAGGGCUCGUACAGAUGUAGAUCGUGGUUCCCUUGGGUGCUACGGUCAGGGAUCGCUAUCAAGAGAUUCCUCGAGCAAAAUUUUUGGGAAAGGGACCGACCGGGAUCGCUUGUCGCAGUCGGUCCU